CAUUUAUAUGUAAAGAUAUUGAUUUUAAGUUAUUCACAAAAAUUGAGUUUUGAGCCUUGUAAAUUUUUAGAUAUUUGUAUAGAACAUAAUAGAUACACAAUUGUAAUCAAUAAUAAAUUUUGGAAUAACCAUCAUUUUAUGGUUCUUAACAAAAUGAAAUACCCAAUUGAAGUUGAACUUCAUGAUGUUACCACGUGGAUGUAGGGUAGAAAUUGUCUUAUUGUUUUAAAAGACGGAAUGUUAGUAUAUCAUUUUGCACGCUUGGAUGGCAUUGCGUGACGAGGAGAAAUGGUGUACCAGUAUACAAGAAAGACAAAGAGAUGCCAAUGAAAUGAAAUCUAUUGGGCCAAAGAGGACUAAGAAUAGUAUAUCCAACAAAUACACGUCAUCAUUCUCAAAUACAAACAUAUCAGUUAAUGAGCCAAUAUCAUAUCCUUGUCCAAUGAGAAGAAAAGCUUCUAAAGGUAAAGGGAACAAACACCAAUGACAAGCACCUCGCUUGAAAGUAUACAAGAUACGAUGCAAACCCAAAUUAAUAUUGAGAUGGAAAAAAUGAACAUUAUGAAAGAAUAUACAACUUUGAAAGACCACGAUAUGAAAAAAGAUUGAUGGAAAAAGAGUAAACUAGGAAUGGCAUUAUUAGAAAUUGAUCCAUCAACAUUAUCAGAACAACAAAGAAAAUUGUAUGAAAUGCAACGCGAUAUGUGUUAAAAAGCUCACAAUCACAAAUUUCCCAACAUCUUCAUUUCUUAUAUCAUUUAAGGAUAAAGAAACAGAAGGUUUGCAAGAACUUACAAAAGAACCUCACUACAAAAGCCCUAAACUACUCUCAUAACAAAACACUCAAACCCUAAACUAAAAAUACAAUCAGAAGAUGUAAGAACUAAGAACUACUCACCUGAAACAAAUGAUCAACAAGAAAAGAACAAGAAAUAUAUUGUAACACUAACGAUCUAACAAUGAGAGACCCUAAACAUAGAGAAACUCUAAUCGUAGAGAAAAGCUUCAAGUUGAGAGAAACCAGAUGAGAGAAUGAUCGAGAAUUGUGAUCAGAUACACUCUCUCUCUUCUUUUAUAUGCUAACCACGUAAAAUGGAUUCAACCCAAAGUCUUCUUGACCCAUUUAAGAUCCGCGUGCAUUUCCUGUAAAAUCACUUAAACCUAGAAGAAUAACACUUGUACAUAUCACACCCUCUAGAUUAUAAAUAAAUAAAUAUGAGAUUGUAAUAUUUAACCUUGUUAUUUUCAACAUCCCCCCUCAAUCGAAAUAUUUAUUUUUCAUUUUUUAAAAACAUCAAUAAGACCCAUUGUUAGAUAGAAAAUCAUGUUGCUUUAUAGUUAAAGAUUUAGUAAGAAUAUCUGCAGUUUGUUCAGAGGAACAAAUUUUAACCAAUUUUAUCACUCCAUUAGAAAUUUUUUCCCUAACAAAGUGGAGAUCAAUUUCAAAUGUUUUGUCCUCUCAUGAAACAUAGGAUUUAAAGCCAACUUAAUAGUUGACUCAUUAUCACAAAAAAUUGAAACUAGAAUUAAUUCCUUAAUUUCUAACUCAAACAAAAUUUUUAAGACCCAAAUUAUUUCACAUGUAACAAAACCAAGAGCCCUAUAUUCAGCUUCAGUAGAAGAUCUAGAAAUAGUAGAUUGUUUCUUACUCUUCCAGGAUAUCAAACAAUUGUUAAAAUAGACCAAAUAUCCAGACACUAACUUUCUUGUAGUCAAGCACUUAGCCCAGUCAACAUCUACAAACCCUUUAAGUUCAAAACUAUCAGAUUUUGUUAUAGCUACUCCCUUUCCUGGACUAUUCUUUAGAUAUCUUAAAAGUCUAAAAGCAACUUUUAGAUGAGACGUGUUAGGUCUAUGCAUGAAUUAACUAAGCACUUGAACAUCAUAGGAAAUAUCGGGUCUAGUAACAGUUAAGUAUAUCAAUUUUCCUAUAAGUUUUUGAAACUCAGUUAUAUUGUCUAAUAAAGCAUUUUCUUUAUCUUUUCCACCAGAAUCUAUUAUAAAAUUUGUUUCCAAAGGAGUACUUACAGGUUUACACCCAAGCAUACCAUAUUCAUGUAAUAACUCUAAACAAUAUUUUCUUUGAUUUAAGCAUAAACCAUUAUUAAACCUUACUACUUCAAUUCCCAAAAAAAUACUUCAAAAUUCCAAGAUCUUUAAUUAAAAACCGAGUUUUCAUGAAAUUUUUAACUUUCUGUAAUUCAAGUUCACAAUUUCUAGUCAAAAUAAUGUCAUCUACAUAUACAAGUAACACAGUCAACGAACCUUCAAACUUUCUCACAAAUAAGGAUUAGUCACUUAUACUUUGCUGAAAACCAAACAAAAAUAAGGAAGAACAAAGUUUUUCAUUCCACUUUCUAGGGGCUUGUCUUAACCCAUAUAAUGAUUUAGUAAGUUUACAAACCCUAGAAUCACCAGUAGAAUAGUUUCCAAGAGGAAGAGACAUAUAAACAUCCUCAGUUAAAUCACCAUAUAAAAAAGCAUUAUUAAUAUCAAGUUGAUAUAAAGGCCAAGAAUUAUGAAGAGACAAAGAAAUAACAAUACGAACAGUCACAAUUUUUGCAACUAGAGAAAAAGUUUCUUCAAAGUCUAUUCCUUCUCUUUGGUUAUACCCUUUAGCUACCAAGCGAGCUUUAUACCUUUCUACUUCACCACUAGAUUUGUAUUUAAUUUUGAAAACCCACUUACAACCUAUUGGUUUUCUAUUUUUAGGCAAAUUAGUAAUUUCCCAAGUAUUAUUUUGAUGAAGAGCUUUCAUCUCUUCAUUCAUUGCUUUAACCCAGUUUGGAUCAGUUAAAGCUUCCAUAUAAUCUUUUGGUUCAACAGUUUUAUUUAAAUUUGAAAUAAAACAUUUUGUGUUAUUAGCUAAUAAGGAAUAAUUGAUAGAUCUUUCAAUGCUAUAUUAUAUUUACCUUCAACAAUAUAAUCAGCAAACUGUACAGGCAUAUGUGACUCACGUCUAGACCUAGAAGAACCUACAGACUGCUCAACAGAAUGGAUUACGGGUAACUGACUACUUUCCUCAGACAUAUCAGAAGAAGAAGGAACAAAACCAGCAGAAGGAGGCACAACUGCAUCGCCACUACGGUUGACAGUAUCAUUAGAAUUAAUAUCAUCCAGGUGAGUGGCUGCAUCAGCACCAUCCAACUGUGACUCUAUUCUCAACUCAUCAGGAUUAAUAGAAUCAUUUAAGUAUUCAUUAGUAUCAAAAUCAUCAUAGGAAAAUGGAUCACUAGGGCUAAAAUUAUGUAAAGUUUUGUCAACAUUUGUUGACUUUAAUUUGUAAGGAAACACAGACUCAUAAAAUUUCACAUCCCUGGACAUAAAAGAAGUGUUAGUAUCCAGACUAAGAAGUUUAUAAGCCUUUUUAUCAGAUGAAUAUCCUAAUAAUAUACAUUUUUCAGCACACUCAGAAAACAUAUCAUUAAUAUUUUGUUUAACAGCAAAGCAAAGGCAACCAAAAAUUCUCAGAUGAUCAAAACUGGGGGCCUUUUUAAAAACAAAUUCAUAGGGAGAAGAGCCAUUUAAAACUGAAGUAGGCAUUCUAUUUAUCAAAAAGACUGAGGUUAAAACAGCAUCUGCCCAAAACCUUACAGGAACUGCUGAUUGAAACAAAAGAGACCGUGCAACAUUAAGAAUGUGCAUGUGCUUUCUUUCCACAACCCCAUUUUGUUGUGGAGUAUAAGCACAUGAAGUCUAAUGAAUGAUACCUCAUUCUAUACAAAAAUAUCUCAUUUGAUUAUUAACAAAUUUGGUACCAUUAUCAGAGCGCACAACCUUAAUAUUAACACUAAAUUGAUUUAAUAAAAUAUUCACAAAAGACUUAAAACAAUCAAAAACUUCACUUUUAGACUUUAAGAGAAAAACUCAAGUAGCCCUAGUAAAAUCAUCCACAAUAAUCAGAAAAUACUUAAACCCUUCUAAAGAAGCAAGUCUAUAGGGACCCCAAACAUCUAGAUGAAUUAAUUCACCUAACUGAGUUGAACUAUGUUGACUAAGAGAAAAGGACUCUCUAGUCUGUUUAGCUCUAUGACACACAUCACAAGGGGGAAGAGAUUCAUUUCCUAAUUUCAAUUUAUCUUUUAAGGAGUUUAAGGCUUGGUCAGCAGGAUGACCAAGUCUGCUAUGCCAAGUUAACUUUGAAACACAACAUUUAGAAUUAUUUAGACUAACUGAAUUACCUGAGGGAACAUGAGCUAGAUAAUAUAGUCCGCCAGACUCUCUACCAUUCUCCACCAUCUUCUUUGAUAGUGAAUCCUGAAUUUUACAAUUAUGUUCAGAAAAAGUAACCUCACAUCCAUUAUCCUUACACAGUUUAUGUACAGACAAAAGAUUAACAUUAAAAUCUAGCACAGCAAAAACAUCAAAUAAAGUAAGAUUAGAGGAUAAGUGAAUAUUCCCAAUCUUAUUUAUUAAUGCAGAAGAACCAUUAGGAUGUUUUACAAGAAGAUUAAGUUUAGACACAUCCACAGUGUCUUGAAGUUGUGACUCUGAGGCAAUCAUAUGUUGAUUUGCCCCAGAAUCAACAAUCCAACUUUGAGAAUUAUUUGAACUAACAAAGGAAUUAAAACAAUAUGUUGAUGUACCUGCCAUAUUUGCAGCAAUAGAUACAUCCUCACUAGCAGAGUUCUCAUUUAUGAGACGAAGAAAUUUAGAAUAUUGUUCACUUGUGAGAUAGUGACAUUCACUACUAGGAACAGAAUCAGAGGAAACUACAGAAUUAAUGGUUGGAACAAUCGAAGAAGAAUUCACAGAAAAAGACUUAUUUUGAUUAUUAUUAUUAUUAUUAUUAUUAUUAUUAUCAUUCUUUGGUUUAAAAUCUUUUGGAUAACCAAUCAAUUUAUAACAUCUUUUUAUGGUGCGACCCUUAAGAUUACAAUGCUUACACUGUAACCCUUGAUUUCUAAACCUAUUUUGACCUUGACCCCUUUUUGAAUCAGUAACCUUACUAUUAAAAACAAACACUUGAGGUUUUGAAGAAGAAACAGAACUCAAAGAACCAUUCUUUUGAAGAGACUCCUCUCUAGAAAGAAUUGAAAAAGCUGUUUUAACAUUAGGUAAAGGUUCCAUUAAGAGAAUGUGACUUUUAACUUGAUUAUACACAUCAUCAAGACCACUCAAAAAUUGCAUUAAUUUCAUCAUUUUAGAAUGAUCAUUAAGUUUAGUAGCAGCCUCGCAUACACAUUCAGUUAAACUAGCCUCGCAUACACAUUCAGUUAAACUAGUCAAACCAUCAAAUUCUUUCCAUAAAGAGUCAAGUUUAUUAUAAUAGUCUGAAAGAGAAGAACCAUUUUGUUUUAAGGUAUUUAUCUGCUAAUGGAUAUUAAAAAUUACAAAACCAUAAGCCUUAUUAUAAGUUUCAAACAAUUCAUCCAAAAUACUUUUAGCAUUAUCAGAAUAAACAUGACUAGCAUAUAUAGUUUCGGAUAUUAAUCCUAGCAACCAAUUACACACAACAGCAUUUACACGUUCCCAUUUAGAACUUUUAGUGUCAUCAUUUUUUUCACGAGUUAUAGUUCCAUCUACAAAACCCAAUUUAUUCCUGGCCUUAAGGCCCCUAGUCAUAGCACUACGCCAUACUCGAAAGUUUUCAUUACCAGUCAAUUUAAUUGUUAUUACAGAAGUAACUGCAUUAUCAGACGGAUGAAUGUACAAUGGGUCAUCAAAAUCAACAUGAACAUAUUUGGGAGUACCACUCCCUUUAGGUGUUUCACCAACCAUGAUUAGUCACAAAAGACACACAAGAAGCAAGCACCAGAGAAUAAAAACAACAAGAAAACUUAAAAGAAAACAGACACCUGUGUUGACUUAAAGUCCAGAUGGUCACCACUAUUUGUCGGGGCCUAAGACAAUCAACACAGAGUCUAAAUCAUAAAAAACAAAUCAAUCAAAACAAAAAUUGAAUCAAAGACAACAAACAAUCAAACAAGUACCAAUCAAAGAAAGCAACAAGUACAGACUAUAUCAACGUCCAGAUGGUCACCAAAUUUGUUUGGGCCCGAGACAGUUAAUACAGAACAAAUCAAGUAACCAAAUAAGCACACAAAUAUGUCACUGAUGUACUCAAGACAUCAGGACUCCCACAUCUAACUACAAAAAAGUUGAGAAGGGAACAAGAAAUCGCUCACAGUGGUCCUAAGCAGAAUUCGCAAGGCAGAAGAUCGCUCACCUCCCCUAGGGUUGUUCUCUGCCAAAGUUAUUUCAGACACUUUUCCGUUCCCUGAUAGAGAACUUGAACCUUUUGCAGGGAUUAAGUGAGCAGACCAAACGAAUAGAAGCUUUUCUCCAAGAUCGAACCACAGAUCCUCAAGAGUCGAACAAUAUCAUCAAACUGCAAAAGACAUAACAGCUUCGCAGUAACUUGUUUCUUAACAAAAAACGAUGUAAUCAACAAAGAAAUGAUCAGAAGACGAUCAGACUGCAACGAUCAGACCCAAAGACACACGAAAAGAAAAAAACCAGAUAAGGAUGAGAGCAAGACGAACGUGUACGAAAUCAUCUUCAAAUCACCAAGAUCUUCAACAGAUACUACAUCGUAGCUCUGCUACCAUGUUAAAAAGCUCACAAUCACAAAUUUCCCAACAUCUUCAUUUCUUAUAUCAUUUAAGGAUAAAGAAACAAAAGGUUUGCAAGAACUUACAAAAGAACCUCACUACAAAAUCCCUAAACUACUCUCAUAACAAAACACUCAAACCCUAAACUAAAAAUACAAUCAGAAGAUGUAAGAACUAAGAACUACUCACCUGAAACAAAUGAUCAACAAGAAAAGAACAACAUAUAUACUGUAACACUAACGAUCUAACAAUGAGAGACCCUAAACAUAGAGAAACCCUAAUCGUAGAGAAAAGCUUCAAUUUGAGAGAAACCAGAUGAGAGAAUGAUCGAGAAUUGUGAUCAGAUACACUCUUUCUCUUCUUUUAUAUGCCAACCACAUAAAAUGGAUUCAACCUGGAUUCAACCCAAAGUCUUCUUGAUCCAUUUAAGAUCUGCGUGCAUUUCCUGUAAAAUCACUUAAACCCAGAAGAAUAACACUUGUACAUAUCACACCCUCUAGAUUAUAAAUAAAUAAAUAUGAGAUUGUAAUAUUUAACCUUGUUAUUUUCAAC
rnacentral:lncRNA from 1 species